rnacentral:rRNA from 1 species
UCAAGCUACAGAGGGCGCACGGUGGAUGCCUUGGCGCUAAGGGCCGAUGAAGGACGCUGUCGGCGGCGAAAGGGCCGGGGAGGUGCCUAACAACCUUCGAUCCGGUCGUGUCCGAAUGGGGGAACCCCCCGCGGGUCAUACCGCGGGACCCACCGCUGAAUUCAUAGGCGGUGUGGAGGGCACCCUGGGAACUGAAACAUCUCAGUACCAGGUGGAAGAGAAAUCAAACGAGAUUCCCCUAGUAGUGGCGAGCGAACGGGGAAGAGCCCAAACCGCGCGGGCGUGAUAGCCCGCGGGCGUUGUCCGCGCGGGGUUGUAGAACGUUACCGGGCCGGGCUGCGGACCGGCCGGGAAGUGAGCAAUCCUCGGUGUAGCCGAACUGCCCUGGAACGGCAGGCGAUACAGGGUGACAGCCCCGUAGGCAAAACAGCGAGGACUUCCUGGGUGGCGUUUCUGAGUACUACGGGACACGUGGAAUCCCGUGGGAAACUGGGAGGACCACCUUCCAAGGCUAAAUACCCUUGGCGACCGAUAGUGCACGAGUACCGUGAGGGAAAGGUGAAAAGAACCCCGGGAGGGGAGUGAAAUAGAACCUGAAACCGUGUGCCCACAACCAGUCGGAGGGCUAUGCCGAUCCGCAAGGAUCGGAAUGCCUGACGGCAUGCCUAUUGAAGAAUGAGCCGGCGAGUUGUCGCGUGUGGCGAGCUGAAGGCCAUCAUGGCCGAAGGCGUAGGGAAACCGAGUCUGAAUAGGGCGACCAGUCGCACGCGGCAGACCCGAAACCGGGUGAUCUACCCCUGGCCAGGGUGAAGCGGAGUUAACCCUUCGUGGAGGCCCGAACCUAUUGGUGUUGAAAAACCAUGGGAUGAGUUGGGGGUAGGGGUGAUAUGCCAAUCGAACCCGGAGAUAGCUGGUUCUCCCCGAAAGGCAUUUAGGUGCCGCCUCGGUGCCGAGCCGUGUGGUGGUAGAGCUCUGGAUGGGCUAGGGCGGGAGAUCCCGUACCGAACCCAACCAAACUGCGAAUGCCAUGCGGUGCUCACCGGGAGUGAGUCCGUGGGGGAUAAGCCUCAUGGUCAAGAGGGAAACAGCCCAGACCGCCAGCUAAGGUCCCGGAAUGGUGGCUAAGUGGGAAAGGAAGUGGCAUCGCUCAGACAGCCAGGAGGUUGGCUUAGAAGCAGCCAUCCUUCAAAGAGUGCGUAACAGCUCACUGGUCGAGUGGUGCUGCGCCGAAGAUUCAGCGGGGCUCAAGCCAUCUACCGACGCUGCGGAUCCGGCGCGGGUAUCGUCCCGCGCCGGGUGGUAGGGGAGCGUUCCGCGAUAGGUGAAGGCAGACCGUAAGGACUGCCGGACGAAGCGGAAGUGCGUCUGCCGGCAUGAGUAGCGAAAAGACAGGUGAGAAUCCUGUCCGCCGUAAGGCCAAGGCUUCUUACGGAAGGCUCGUCCGCGUAAGGUUAGGCGGGACCUAAGGUGAGGCCGAAAGGCGUAGCCGAUGGACAGCCGGUUGAUAUUCCGGCCCCGCUCUGCAUCCGUUACGAGCCAAGAGGGGACGCAGGAGGGUAGGCCUACCGGGGGUUGGUUGUCCCGGGUUAAGCGGGUAGGCGGGAGGUCCAGGGAAAUCCGGAUCUCCAUUCAACGCCGAGACGCGAAUACGAGCCCGAGCGCAAGCAAAGGCGAAGUGGCUCAGCCCACACUGACAAGAAAAACCUCGUGGCCAGGGUGCAGGGCGCCCGUACCGCAAACCGACACAGGUGGCCCGGCACGAAAAGUGCCAAGGCGCGCGAGAGAACUCUCGUCAAGGAACUCGGCAAAAUGACCCCGUAACCUCGGGAGAAGGGGUGCCUCCGUAGGGUGACUGCGUACAGCGGAAGCCCGAAGAGGUCGCAGAUAAUAGGCUCAGCCGACUGUUUAACAAAAACACAGGUCUCUGCUAAGCCGCAAGGCGACGUAUAGGGGCUGACGCCUGCCCAGUGCCGGAAGGUUAAAGGGAGGGGUUAGCCGCAAGGCGAGGCUCCGAACUGAAGCCCCGGUGAACGGCGGCUGUAACUAUAACAGUCCUAAGGUAGCGAAGUUCCUUGUCGGGUAAGUUCCGACCUGCACGAAUGGCGUAACGAGCUGAGCGCUGUCUCGACGAGAGACUCGGCGAAGUUGUGCGACCCGUGAAGACACGGGUUACCCGCAGCUGGACGGAAAGACCCCAUGAAGCUUUACUGUAGCUUGCCAUUGGAUUUGGUCUCACCAUGCAGAGGAUAGGUGGGAGGCUGAGAAGCCGGGGCUCUGGCCUCGGUGGAGCCAACCUUGGAAUACCACCCUUGGCAAGAUUAAGUCCUAACCGGGGACCUGACCGGUUCUCGGGACAGUGGCAGGUGGGCAGUUUGACUGGGGCGGUCGCCUCCCAAAUGGUAACGGAGGCGCCCAAAGGUUCCCUCAGCACGGUUGGAAACCGUGCGGCGAGUGCAAGGGCAUAAGGGAGCUUGACUGUGAGGCUCACAAGCCGAUCAGGGCGGAAACGCGGGCCUAGUGAUCCUACGGUGGCAAGUGGAAGCGCCGUGGCUUAACGGAUAAAAGCUACUCUGGGGAUAACAGGCUGAUCUCCCCCAAUAGUCCACAUAGACGGGGAGGUUUGGCACCUCGAUGUCGGCUCAUCGCAUCCUGGGGCUGCAGUAGGUCCCAAGGGUUGGGCUGUUCGCCCAUUAAAGCGGUACGUGAGCUGGGUUCAGAACGUCGUGAGACAGUUCGGUCCCUAUCCACUGCGGGCGUAGGUGGCUUGAGGGGAUCUGCUCCUAGUACGAGAGGACCGGAGUGGACGGACCUCUGGUGUACCGGUUGUCCUGCCAAGGGCAAGUGCCGGGUACCUAUGUCCGGACGGGAUAAGCGCUGAAAGCAUCUAAGCGCGAAACCCACCCCAAGAUGAGGCCACCCACCGGGUUAACCGGGUAAGCCCCCAGGUAGACUACCUGGUUGAUAGGCCGGGGGUGUAAGCGCCGCAAGGCGUUGAGCUGACCGGUACUAAUCGGGCGAGGGCUUGAUCAC